rnacentral:antisense_RNA from 1 species
CGCAGAGUCCCAGCACAGAGCAGAGUAGAACAGAGUAGGAUUGGAGCUGAGAGAUAAUGGGGUCUCUGUUGCCCAGGCUACAGGGCAAUGGCAUGAUCUCAGCUCACCGUGACUUUUGCCUCCUGAGCUCAAGCAAUUCUCCUGCCUCAGCCUCCUGAGUAGCUGGGACUACAACUAGAAUAAAAGCACAAUGAAUGCAGGAAUUUUGCCAACUUCUGGCGCAGAGAUGGCUUUCAAAAUCUAUUUGGUGAAUGAAUGAAUGAAUUGCAUUUUCUUCCUAAAUUUCACAAUUGAGUGGUCCUAAUCUGCAUAUCCAAGAGCAAUGUAUGUGAGCCUACGUUUCCACAGGCUCACCCACAGAAUGUGUGCUCAAACUUUUGGAUUUUUGCCCAUCUACUAGGUUAGCAUUUUACCUAUGUAUGGCAUUUUCUAUUUUCAGUGACGGACUAUGAGCCGUGAUAAACACAUUACUCCCUUCUUUAACAAAAAAGAGCAUGGUUAACUCCAAAGACUUCUCUAGACCAGCCUGGAUGGUACUUAAACUUUAAUCAACCAAUGCUCAAGUAAAAGAGCAGUAUCCAGCCCCAGCACACCUAACUGUUUUGCAUAACAUAGAUCCCACCCCACAGGCCUUGGAAGCCUGAGGCAGUAUUCUUCUGGGAUAUUUCCAACUAGGCUUCCCAUGAGC